rnacentral:rRNA from 1 species
UACGUAGGGGGCAAGCGUUGUCCGGAUUUAUUGGGCGUAAAGAGCGUGUAGGCGGCUUGGUAGGUCCGCUGUGAAAACUCGAGGCUCAACCUCGAGAUGUCGGCGGAAACCACUUGGCUAGAGUCCGGAAGAGGAGAGUGGAAUUCCUGGUGUAGCGGUGAAAUGCGCAGAUAUCAGGAAGAACACCCGUGGCGAAGGCGGCUUUCUGGGACGGUACUGACGCUGAGACGCGAAAGCGUGGGGAGCGAACAGG